rnacentral:rRNA from 1 species
GAUGAACGCUGGCGGCGUGCCUAACACAUGCAAGUCGAGCGAGAAGCCUUUAAAUGAAACUUCGGUAGAUUUUAGAGGUGGGAAGCGGCGGACGGGUGAGUAACGCGUAGGCAACCUGCCCUUUGCAGAGGGAUAGCCUCGGGAAACCGGGAUUAAAACCUCAUAAAGCUCUGUUAAGACAUCUUAAUAGGGUCAAAGAUUUAUCGGCAAAGGAUGGGCCUGCGUCUGAUUAGUUAGUUGGUGGGGUAACGGCCUACCAAGGCAGCGAUCAGUAGCCGACCUGAGAGGGUGAUCGGCCACAUUGGAACUGAGACACGGUCCAA